rnacentral:rRNA from 14 species
UUUUGAGUUUGAUCCUGGCUCAGGGUGAACGCUUGUGGUACGCCUUAUACAUGCGAGUUGAACGUAUUUUUACGUAGCGAACGGGUGAGUAAUGCAAAGGUUAUUUGCUUUUAGACCCGGAAUCAAAUACCGGCGUAAAAGGAUAAAUCCAUCUAAAAAUAAGCUUUUGUAGAAUUAGGUUGUUGGUGAGGUAACUGCUCACCAAGCCGACGAUUCUUAGCUGGUCCGAGAGGAUGACCAGCCACACUGGAACUGAGACAAGGUCCAGACUUUUUUAGAAAGUCAGCAGUAAGGAAUAUUGGACAAUGAGCGAGAGCUUGAUCCAGCGAUACCACAUGAGUGAAGAAGGCUCUUUGGCUGUAAAACUCGAUAUUUUAGGAAGAGAUUGACAUUACUAAAAAAAAAGUCCCGGCUAACUUCGUGCCAGCAGUCGCGGUAAUACGGAGGGGGCGAGCGUUAUCUGGAAUAAUUGGGCGUAAAGUGUUCGUAGGCUGUAUUUGGCUGUUGAGUGUUAAAGACCAAAGCUUAACUUUGGAUGUGCACUUAAAACGUUUAUACUGGAGUACGGUAUGGGACAAUGGAAUUUUACAAGGAGGGGUGAAAUCCGUAGAACUGUAAAGGAACGCCAAAAGCGAAGGCAAUUGUCUGGGCCGUUACUGACGCUGAGGAACGAAAGCGUGGGUAUCCAACAGGAUUAGAUACCCUGGUAGUCCACGCCGUAAACGUUGGGAACUAGGUGUUGGCGACAUUCCACGUCGUCGGUGCCGCAGCUAACGCAUUAAGUUCCCCGCCUGGGGAGUACGGCCGCA